rnacentral:sRNA from 1 species
AGGAGUAAAAGUCGUAACAAGGUUUCCGUAGGUGAACCUGCGGAAGGAUCAUUAUUGAAACAUUGUGAAGGAGGUUGAGCUGGCUUUUGCAAGUGCUCACCUUCUUUCAAUCUUCAUCCACCUGUGCACCCUUUGUAGGGAUAUAGAAGUCUGGAACGGUGUAAAAGCCAAGUACGGGUCUCUAUUCUCUAUGUUUUUACACACACUUAAUGUAUGUUUAUGAAUGUCUACUAGGGACUUAAUUGACCCUAUAAAAGUUAAUACAACUUUCAGCAACGGAUCUCUUGGCUCUCGCAUCGAUGAAGAACGCAGCGAAAUGCGAUAAGUAAUGUGAAUUGCAGAAUUCAGUGAAUCAUCGAAUCUUUGAACGCACCUUGCGCCCCUUGGUAUUCCGAGGGGCAUGCCUGUUUGAGUGUCAUUAAAUUCUCAACCUCAUAAGCUUUUGCUUAUUGAGGAUUGGAUGUGAGGGUUGCUGGCUUGUAACAGAGUCAGCUCCCUUGAAAUGCAUUAGUGGAUUCAACCAGUUGUAGACCACAUUGGUGUGAUAAUUAUCUACGCCAUUGACUAAGUGUCUGCAGUUUGGAAGGUUGCAAUGUAACAGUUGCUCUUUCUGCUCCAAGUGUUGUCCGCUUCAAACCGUCCUAAGUUACUGGACAACUUUGACUUGUUUGACCUCAAAUCAGGUAGGACUACCCGCUGAACUUAAGCAUAUCAAUAAGCGGAGGAAAAGAAACUAACAAGGAUUCCCCUAGUAACUGCGAGUGAAGAGGGAAAAGCUCAAAUUUAAAAUCUGGCAGUCUUUGAUUGUCCGAGUUGUAAUUUAGAGAAGUGUUACCCGUGCUGGACCGUGUACAAGUCUCCUGGAAUGGAGCGUCAUAGAGGGUGAGAAUCCCGUCUUUGACACGGACUCCCAGUGCAUUGUGGUAUGCUCUCAAAGA